UACGGGGGGGGGCAAGCGUUGUUCGGAAUUACUGGGCGUAAAGGGCUCGUAGGCGGCCAACUAAGUCAGACGUGAAAUCCCCAGGCUCAACUUGGGAACUGCGUCUGAUACUGGAUGGCUUGAAUUCGGGAGAGGGAUGCAGAAUUCCAGGUGUAGCGGUGAAAUGCGUAGAUAUCUGGAGGAAUACCGGUGGCGAAGGCGGCAUCCUGGACCGACAUUGACGCUGAUGAGCGAAAGCUAGGGGAGCAAACGGG
rnacentral:rRNA from 1 species